rnacentral:rRNA from 1 species
CCAGACUCCUACGGGAGGCAGCAGUGGGGAAUAUUGCACAAUGGGGGAAACCCUGAUGCAGUGACGCCGCGUGAGUGAGGAAGUAUUUCGGUAUGUAAAGCUCUAUCAGCAGGGAAGAAAAUGACGGUACCUGAGUAAGAAGCCCCGGCUAACUACGUGCCAGCAGCCGCGGUAAUACGUAGGGGGCAAGCGUUAUCCGGAUUUACUGGGUGUAAAGGGAGCGUAGACGGCAGUGCAAGUCUGGAGUGAAAGCCCGGGGCCCAACCCCGGGACUGCUCUUGGAACUGCGCGGCUGGAGUGCAGGAGGGGCAGGCGGAAUUCCUGGUGUAGCGGUGAAAUGCGUAGAUAUCAGGAGGAACACCGGCGGCGAAGGCGGCCUGCUGGACUGAAACUGACGUUGAGGCUCGAAAGCGUGGGGAGCAAACAGGAUUAGAUACCCCUGUA